GUGCUCGCUUCGGCAGCACAUAUACUAAAAUUGGAACGAUACAGAGAAGAUUAGCAUGGCCCCUGCGCAAGAAAAAAGAAAAAAAAAAGAGAGAGAGAAAACAGGAAC